GAGUUUGAUCCUGGCUCAGGACGAACGCUGGCGGCGUGCCUAACACAUGCAAGUCGAACGAAGCACUUCUGAAUGGAGAUUCGUCGAAGUUCAGAUUUGACUUAGUGGCGGACGGGUGAGUAAUGCAUGAGCAACCUGCCCUGCAGUGGGGGACAACAGUUGGAAACGACUGCUAAUACCGCAUGAUGUAUCUGGAAGGCAUCUUCCGGAUACCAAAGAUUUAUCGCUGUGGGAUGGGCUCAUGUCUGAUUAGUUAGUUGGUGGGGUAACGGCCUACCAAGACUGCGAUCAGUAGCCGGACUGAGAGGUUGAACGGCCACAUUGGGACUGAGAUACGGCCCAGACUCCUACGGGAGGCAGCAGUGGGGAAUAUUGGGCAAUGGGCGAAAGCCUGACCCAGCAACGCCGCGUGAAGGAAGAAGGUCUUCGGAUUGUAAACUUCUUUUAUGAGGGACGAAGGAAGUGACGGUACCUAAUGAAUAAGCCACGGCUAACUACGUGCCAGCCGCCGCGGUAAUUC
rnacentral:rRNA from 1 species